CAUGGCUCAGGAUGAACGCUAGCUACAGGCUUAACACAUGCAAGGUCGAGGGGCAGCAUUAUCGAAGCUUGCUUGAUAGAUGGCGACCGGCGCACGGGUGAGUAACGCGUAUCCAACCUUCCCAUCACUCAGGGAUAGCCCGCCGAAAGGCGAAUUAAUACCUGAUGGUCUCCUUUGCGGACAUCUAACGAGGAGUAAAGAUUCAUUGGUGAUGGAUGGGGAUGCGUCUGAUUAGGUAGUAGGCGGGGUAACGGCCCACCUAGCCGACGAUCAGUAGGGGUUCUGAGAGGAAGGUCCCCCACAUUGGAACUGAGACACGGUCCAAACUCCUACGGGAGGCAGCAGUGAGGAAUAUUGGUCAAUGGACGGAAGUCUGAACCAGCCAAGUAGCGUGCAGGAUGACGGCCCUAUGGGUUGUAAACUGCUUUUGUGCGGGAAUAAAGUAUGGGACGUGUCCCGUUUUGCAUGUACCGCACGAAUAAGGACCGGCUAAUUCCGUGCCAGCCGCUGC
rnacentral:rRNA from 1 species